AGAAAAUCUUGCUUCCAGAUUAAAAGUCCUCAGCCUCAGGAAAAUCUCUACUCUGGUUUAGUGUCUGUCUGUUGUUUGUGUUCUCUCCCUGUCCCCCUGCCUCCCUCUCCCUCUCUCGCACACAUGCAGAGUAAAAAGAAAGGGCAAAAAGAGAGAGAGAAAAAAGCCACACGUCUGGGCAUGGACUCUUAUGGAAACACAGAGAACUUCCAAAUUUUAUGAUUACACAAAAAGCUAUUAGCAGUGACUUAUGUAUUUCCUGGGAAAUAUGCUGUGAGCAAAUUCAUUACAGACCAUGCUCUACCAUCAUGGAGAAGCUUCUGUUUUUUUCAUAUGGAAACAAGAAAUCUGGCCUUGCCUCAGAAGUGAACAUGGGAGGGAAGAUGGAAAAAGAAGUUGCAAGUGACUGACUACCCCGUGAAACCUUUUGGAUAACAAGAGGAGGAGAAGGGAAAGGGCUGUAGGAGAUCUGCAACACGGAGGACUCACUGGGCAAUAUCUCCACGUGUAUGUGGUAUAACGUGAGAAGUGGCCACAAAGACUUCUAUAACUGCAAAUUUCUUUCUUAGACUUGCCAGAGUUCCUGAAAUUUAGUAGCCUUAAUUUUAUAGGAUAUAUUAAGGCAUUACCUUUUUAGAAGGCUAGUGCUAAAAUGCAGGGUUAACCAGGGAAGAGAACCUAUGAGCACAUUUCUAUAAGUUAAGUUAUUAUCUUAGCUGUCUGCCUUCCUAUGCCUUUACUAGAGCUAUUUGAAAGUCAUAAAUGAAAUUCAAGUGGCCAGAUUUUACUAGUGAAAUCAUAGGGAUGUUCAUUGUCUGAUGAGGGCCAUGGCUUUCAAUCUGACUAUCUGACUAUCAACACUGACUUAGCAAGGCUGGAAAUGGAGAUGUUAAAUAAAAUACACUUUAUCCAACUGGAUCA
rnacentral:lncRNA from 1 species